rnacentral:rRNA from 1 species
UACGGAAGGGGGCUAGCGUUGUUCGGAUUUACUGGGCGUAAAGCGCACGUAGGCGGGAUCGUUAAGUCGGGGGUGAAAUCCUGGAGCUCAACUCCAGAACUGCCUUCGAUACUGGCGAUCUUGAGUCCGGAAGAGGUGAGUGGAACUCCUAGUGUAGAGGUGGAAUUCGUAGAUAUUAGGAAGAACACCAGUGGCGAAGGCGGCUCACUGGUCCGGUACUGACGCUGAAGUGGCGAAAGCGUGGGGAGCAAACAGG